GGGUGCGAGCGUUAAUCGGAAUUACUGGGCGUAAAGCGCGCGUAGGCGGCUUUGCAAGUCGGGUGUGAAAUCCCCAGGCUUAACCUGGGAACUGCAUUCGAGACUGCAUUGCUAGAGUAUGGGAGAGGGAAGUGGAAUUUCCGGUGUAGCGGUGAAAUGCGUAGAUAUCGGAAGGAACAUCAGUGGCGAAAGCGGCUCUCUGGUCCCAUACUGACGCUGAGGCGCGAAAGCUAGGGUAGCAAACAGG
rnacentral:rRNA from 1 species